rnacentral:rRNA from 1 species
AUUGAACGCUGGCGGCAGGCCUAACACAUGCAAGUCGAGCGGAGCGGCGGACGGGCGAGUAAUGCCUAGGAAUCUGCCUGGUAGUGGGGGAUAACGUCCGGAAACGGGCGCUAAUACCGCAUACUAUCAGAUGAGCCUAGGUCGGCUUAGCUAGUUGGGGGGGUAAAGGCCUACCAGGGCGAAGGUCCGUAACUGGUCUGAGCGUAUGAUCAGUCACACUGGAACUGUGACACGGUCCAGACUCCUACGGGAGGAGGCAGUGGGUAAUAUUGGACAAUGGGCAAAAGCCUGAUCAAGCCAUGCCGCGGGUGUGAAGAAGGUCUUCGGAUUGUAAAGCACUUUAAGUUGGGAGGCGUUACCAACAGAAUAAGCACCGGAUAACUUCGUGCCAGCAGCCGCGGUAAUUC